CAUUUGCAGUCUUAAUUUUGUUAAAAUGCCCAUUUCUUCCUAACUCAUUCCUCCCGUUUUUGCCUUACUGCAGCUAUUCUGACAGGAAAGUCAUUGAUAGCUUUUUGCUAAGUCUGAAACCUUAAUGUUCCUAGUCUUUUCCACCCCUGCAGGAGAGGGAAUAUAAUGUCUCCUUCAUAAAGGACAAAUCAAUAACUGUGCCAUUCCAGUUGGGUACUUGGUGAAGAUCUUCAAGAACAUGUUGUAUAUGCCCCACUUGUAGGAACAGCAUAGGAGAGGAAGCAAGAAGGAACAUGGCAAAGAGCCCAAGAGAAUGAAGAAGUACAGGAAGAAGGAAAUGCACAGAUCCUGCGUCUUGCAGCACAUUAGAUGCAGUCUCUAGAUGCCUGUUAGCACAGCUCUGUGCAGGAGUUCUGUACACAUUGUUUUCCUGGAGCCACAGCUUCAUUUCAAGGCACAUGCAGUACAGGGGGACUCAAAGGACACUUUUGAGCAUCCUAUAGACCGGAAAAGCAGCUGUGUGUUUUUUGGGCAGUGUUGGGUCCCAGGUAAUAAGCACAGUGCUUGGCUAGCACAGCUUUACCACUGUCAGCCCAGAGUGCUGGGAACAGAAAUUCACUCUUCUCAGGAGAGGGAACGAAUACAUCCAGCACAGCCCCCCAGCCCUCACCACAUCCUACCUUCUUCUCCCUUUCUUUCUGGAUGAAGUUUGAGCUUUGGAGAACACAGCAACCCAAGGUGCUACAAAGGUUCCUUGUGCCUUCUCCCUCUUGUUCACUUUACCCCUGAAAAUCACUUGUAACUAUUCAGUAUCGUAAAAGCAAUAUAUAUAUGUAUAUAUAUUUAUAUUAAUUGUAGGCUUGACUUUGAAUUCAGCAUUGCUUUAAUAUCACCAUUUGAAGUUUAUUAUGCAGCUGAAAUUCUUUGCAAUUCCA